UACGAAGGGGGCUAGCGUUGCUCGGAAUUACUGGGCGUAAAGCGCACGUAGGCGGCUUCUUAAGUCGGUGGUGAAAUCCUGGAGCUCAACUCCAGAACUGCCUUCGAUACUGGGAAGCUCGAGUCCGGGAGAGGUGAGUGGAACUGCGAGUGUAGAGGUGAAAUUCGUAGAUAUUCGCAAGAACACCGGUGGCGAAGGCGGGUCUCUGGGCCGAAACUGACGCUGAGGAGCGAAAGCGUGGGGAGCAAACAGG
rnacentral:rRNA from 1 species